AGAGUUGAUCAUGGCUCAGGAUGAACGCUAGCGACAGGCUUAACACAUGCAAGUCGGAGGGCAGCAUAAAAGUAGCAAUACGUUGGUGGCGACCGGCGCACGGGUGAGUAACGCGUAUGCAACCUACCUAUCAGGAGGGGAAUAACCCGGCGAAAGUCGGACUAAUACCGCAUAAAACAGGGACACCGCAUGGUGAUAUUUGUUAAAGAAAUUCGCUGAUAGAUGGGCAUGCGUUCCAUUAGGUAGUUGGUGAGGUAACGGCUCACCAAGCCGACGAUGGAUAGGGGAACUGAGAGGUUGGUCCCCCACACUGGUACUGAGACACGGACCAGACUCCUACGGGAGGCAGCAGUGAGGAAUAUUGGUCAAUGGGCGAGAGCCUGAACCAGCCAAGUCGCGUGAAGGAAGAAGGACCUAUGGUUCGUAAACUUCUUUUGCAGGGGAAUAAAGUGCAGGACGUGUCCUGUUUUGUAUGUACCCUGAGAAUAAGGAUCGGCUAACUCCGUGCCAGCCGCCGC
rnacentral:rRNA from 1 species